CGGGCGGGGGGCUCGUGGCGCGCGCGCCCCGCACCCGAGGGCUGCGGAGAGAUAUUUUGGGUGGCAGGAGGCCCCUCGUCAUUUCCGCCGGGCAGCUAGUCGUGCUGGGGGCUUCACUCCCGCGCGUGAGGCGAGCGGGCAAGUUGGCUGAGGGCGUGCGGCAGAGGCUGCUUCCCUCGGUGACGCGACCCCCUCAGCAGCUCAAGCCAUGAACUGAAGCUCCCUAGGGACGGAGACCCGAGCGGAGCGGCGGAGGCAGCAGCAGCAGCAGCAGCAGCAGCCGCCGCCGCCUUAGCGGGAACUGAGCAGACCCGGCGCGGAGCCACGACUCCUGCACGUUUCCCUCCCCGUCGCCGUUCCUGCCAGCGGUUGGCUAAGAGACAUUACAGCCGCGAGACCCGACACACAAAAGCCGCUUUCAACGCGCCGCCCGCCCAGAGAGGCUGCGGUCAGCAAGGGACCCCACCUGAGAGCGGUUCGGACUGCUGAGUUCGUUUUGUGUCUGAGCUCCGCGCUCUGCACGGAACCGACCCCGUACCCAUGGCUCUGAUAAUGGAGCCCGUGAGCAAAUGGUCUCCGAGUCAAGUAGUGGACUGGAUGAAAGGUCUUGAUGACUGUUUGCAGCAGUAUAUUAAGAACUUUGAGAGGGAGAAGAUCAGUGGGGACCAGCUGCUGCGCAUUACACAUCAGGAGCUAGAAGAUCUGGGGGUCAGCCGCAUUGGUCAUCAGGAACUGAUCUUGGAAGCAGUUGACCUUCUGUGUGCAUUGAAUUAUGGCUUGGAAACAGAAAAUCUAAAAACCCUUUCUCACAAGUUGAAUGCAUCUGCCAAAAAUCUACAGAAUUUUAUAACAGGAAGGAGAAGGAGUGGCCAUUAUGAUGGGAGGACCAGCCGAAAAUUGCCAAACGACUUUCUGACCUCAGUUGUGGAUCUGAUUGGAGCAGCCAAGAGUCUGCUUGCAUGGUUGGACAGGUCACCAUUUGCUGCUGUGACAGACUAUUCAGUUACAAGAAAUAAUGUCAUACAACUCUGCCUGGAGUUAACAACAAUUGUGCAACAGGAUUGUACUGUAUAUGAAACAGAGAAUAAAAUUCUUCACGUGUGUAAAACUCUUUCUGGAGUCUGUGACCACAUCAUAUCCCUGUCAUCAGAUCCUCUGGUUUCACAGUCUGCUCACCUGGAGGUGAUUCAAUUAGCAAACAUCAAACCAAGCGAAGGGCUGGGUAUGUAUAUUAAAUCUACAUAUGAUGGCCUCCAUGUAAUUACUGGAACCACAGAAAAUUCACCUGCAGAUCGGUGCAAGAAAAUCCAUGCUGGCGAUGAAGUGAUUCAAGUUAAUCAUCAGACUGUGGUGGGGUGGCAGUUGAAAAAUUUGGUGAAUGCACUACGAGAGGACCCGAGUGGUGUUAUCUUAACUUUGAAAAAGCGACCUCAGAGCAUGCUUACCUCAGCACCAGCUUUACUGAAAAAUAUGAGAUGGAAGCCCCUUGCUCUGCAGCCUCUUAUACCUAGAAGUCCCACAAGCAGCGUUGCCACGCCUUCCAGCACCAUCAGUACACCCACCAAAAGAGACAGUUCUGCCCUCCAGGAUCUCUACAUUCCCCCUCCUCCUGCAGAACCAUAUAUUCCCAGGGAUGAAAAAGGAAACCUUCCUUGUGAAGACCUCAGAGGACAUAUGGUGGGCAAGCCAGUGCAUAAGGGAUCUGAAUCACCAAAUUCAUUUCUGGAUCAGGAAUAUCGAAAGAGAUUUAAUAUUGUCGAAGAAGAUACUGUCUUAUAUUGCUAUGAAUAUGAAAAAGGAAGAUCAAGUAGUCAAGGAAGACGAGAAAGCACCCCAACUUAUGGCAAGCUACGACCUAUAUCUAUGCCAGUGGAAUAUAAUUGGGUGGGGGACUAUGAAGAUCCAAAUAAGAUGAAGAGAGAUAGUAGAAGAGAAAACUCUCUACUUCGGUAUAUGAGCAAUGAAAAGAUUGCUCAAGAAGAAUACAUGUUUCAGAGAAACAGCAAAAAGGACACAGGGAAGAAGUCAAAAAAGAAGGGUGAUAAGAGUAAUAGCCCAACUCACUAUUCAUUGCUACCUAGUUUACAAAUGGAUGCACUGAGACAAGACAUCAUGGGCACUCCUGUGCCAGAGACCACACUAUACCAUACAUUUCAGCAGUCCUCACUGCAGCACAAAUCAAAGAAGAAAAACAAAGGUCCUAUAGCAGGCAAGAGCAAAAGACGAAUUUCUUGCAAAGAUCUUGGCCGUGGUGACUGUGAAGGCUGGCUUUGGAAAAAGAAAGAUGCAAAGAGUUAUUUUUCACAGAAAUGGAAGAAAUAUUGGUUUGUCCUAAAGGAUGCAUCCCUUUAUUGGUACAUUAAUGAGGAGGAUGAAAAAGCAGAAGGAUUCAUCAGUCUGCCUGAAUUUAAAAUUGAUAGAGCCAGUGAAUGCCGCAAAAAAUAUGCAUUCAAAGCCUGUCAUCCUAAAAUCAAAAGCUUUUAUUUUGCCGCUGAACAUCUUGAUGAUAUGAACAGGUGGCUUAACAGAAUUAAUAUGCUGACAGCAGGAUAUGCAGAAAGAGAGAGGAUUAAGCAGGAACAAGAUUACUGGAGUGAGAGUGACAAGGAAGAAGCAGAUACUCCAUCAACACCAAAACAGGAUAGCCCUCCACCCCCAUAUGAUACAUACCCACGACCUCCCUCGAUGAGUUGCGCCAGUCCUUAUGUGGAAGCAAAACAUAGCCGACUUUCCUCCACGGAGACUUCUCAGUCUCAGUCUUCUCAUGAGGAGUUUCGCCAGGAAGUAACUGGGAGCAGUGCAGUGUCUCCCAUUCGCAAGACAGCCAGUCAGCGCCGCUCCUGGCAGGAUUUAAUUGAGACGCCACUGACAAGUUCAGGCUUACACUAUCUUCAGACUCUGCCCCUGGAGGAUUCUGUCUUCUCUGACUCUGCAGCCAUCUCCCCAGAGCACAGACGGCAGUCUACCCUGCCAACUCAGAAAUGCCACCUGCAGGAUCACUAUGGGCCGUACCCCUUAGCUGAGAGUGAGAGGAUGCAAGUGCUAAAUGGAAAUGGGGGCAAGCCUCGAAGUUUUACUCUGCCUCGAGAUAGCGGGUUCAACCAUUGCUGUCUGAAUGCUCCAGUUAGUGCCUGUGACCCACAGGAUGACGUGCAACCCCCAGAGGUGGAGGAAGAGGAGGAGGAGGAGGAGGAGGAAGGGGAGGCAGCAGGGGAAAACAUAGGAGAAAAAAGCUAAUACACUGCGAGAGUUGGUAGAACCUCUCCAUGCCAAAUCGGAUCCACUUCUGUUGGCACUCAACCCAUUGGACUCACAGAUUGAUAAGCUAAUGUUUAGAGAAUUUAGAUCGGAGAGAGUCGGUACGGCGCAGACUCAACAUCAACCUCUUGCAAGCAACUAAAAUGGCCUCGUCCUUGCUGUUUAUAACAGAAAACAGACUUGUAUAAAGCUUAGAUCAUCAAGUGUUUUGGAUUGGGGGCCUCCCAAAGGGAUAUAAGAGGGGCAGGCCACUCUUAAGAAGAAUGCGAGCUUUCUACAUUGGGACUAGCAUAAGAUCAAAGCCAAUCAAGAUGGAGCACAGUAACAGAAAACUGCGGUUUCUAUGGGAGAACAGAAGGGGAAAGGGUCUUAACUGGGAAAGGGCUCUGUGUGGUGACACCUCAGUUGUGUUCUCCUGACACCAGGAAAAGAGAGGGAUCAGCUUCAAUAACUAGAAAAUUCUGGCUGUUUAAUGGACUCUUUGGUGGCCUCUUUAAGGCAAAGCAGAGAAAGCAAAUUAUGUAUUAAGUGUAUUUUGCAUUUUUAAAACUUGACGUGCUGUAUUGUACUAAAUUAAGUGUAAUCUAUUAAGGCAAGGUAUACACAAUUUGCUUUGAAACUUAAUAUGUUUAUUCUAUUAUAAAGUGUAUUCAGGUGCAACACAGAGACUGCUUUCGGUGACAUUAAUGAAGAAAAUUUCUCAUGCCAGGCUUUAUUAUAGAAUCUUCAGCUAAAAUCCUAACUUUCUCCUUAUUUCUUGGCACUUGUACACAAGUGGUGUUGCCUCUUAGGGCAGGCAUGAGCUAUUCUUUUCUGUAAAAUAUUUCGAAUCUAUAGGCUAUGGGUUUCAUUUUUGAAAAAGUAUUUUGUCUGGAUGUCUUUCAAACUAGCUUCAGAUAUUAUUUAAUACUAUGUAACUGGGUCCCCUAUGGCUCAAUCAAUAUUGCUUAUUUUUCUUCUGUAGUGGAUGUGAAAUUUCCUUUAGUUGGAUAAGAUACACUGUAAUAAUUUUAAUGCUAAUUAAUGGAUAUUUCAUACUGUGCAAUGAACAGAUAAUUUAACACUGUAUUUUGAAAUGUUUUUUUCUUCCUGUCACCGCAGUGUGUGGUAUUGCAUAAUGUGAAUACCUGUAAAAAUAUAAAUUACUUAAAAAUAAAAAUAUGACCAAUUGGUAUCAGAUCUUUUCAGAUAGCUAAAUAAUUUGCUAAGUAUGCCUGAUAGUAAAUAUCUUUCUAAAAAGAAGUAAUCAGUGCUUCUUUCUCACAAAUGGAAUUUGUUUCUGUGAAUAAAAUCACAUUGAUCUGCCUUACAAUUGCCUCUGUGCUCUAACCAUUUUAAUGUGUUUUUUUUAAAAUAUCUAUAUAAUGAUGGUUCUGGUAUAUGGAAAUCCAUCAAAACGCAUUUUAUUGGCAUUUAAUAUUUAUGGGAUUGUCUUGGGUCAUUCUCCCUGUUUAAGUCAAGUAAAAUUUUGUGAUCUGGAGAAUUGGGUUUUUUUUUCAUUAAGGAAUAUAGUGACUCCACAUUAAUUUUCAAAAAUAAUCAUCUCUUAGCUUUGGUUUUAAACUAUAUCCUUUACGAAUUCCUGCCUGAGAGCUAGCACUUUGGCUUCCAUAUUCCUAGUGGUUAAAUUUUUUAAAUUCUGUGGGUAAACCUAAACUCUGUCAUUUAUAUUUUUGAUUGUCCUUCAAAGAACCUUCCCUUCUUUGAGGCAAUAAAUCAAUACUAAGAACACCAAGAUUCUGCCAUCUGAACUACUUGUCGUAAAUACCAUAGUGCCCUGAAAAUUCAACCACUGUCAUGUAUUUUUAUCAUUAAACUGCAUAAUUUAGCAGAAAUUACAUGUUCAGAGAAAGAAGUAUAGAAUAAACUUUAGCUCUAUCUCUUUUGUCACAUUUUUAUGGAGCAAGAUUUUGUGUUGUAAGGAAAGAAUUGACAGACACAAGUACUUGAUUUCAGUGAAGCACAUUAUCAUUCUUACAAGGGUGGGCUUUACAUGUUCUUUAAAAAUACAUUUAGCAAAUGCUGGUGGAGUCACUCAAGCUGUUCUUUUAAGAGAAGGGUUUUUUUCUCACUAAAAUAGAUUUCUUUCCUCAGAGAAAGUAUUGCCCAAUAGUAAUGUUUGUGUAUUGUUACUUUGCCUAAAAGAAAAUAAAUAACCCCUAAAUAUGAAACAAGUAGUUGAUUACAGAGGGAGGACUAAAAGCCAGCUUUUAAAAUCUUUAAAAUCUUACGUUUUUUUCUGAUAUAACAAACUGCCUUCCCCAAACCCAGUUUUAUAAUGGUAGGCAUAGCUGAUUGACUUAUAUAAAAGCAUGAAUUAAGAGAGCUAGUAUUUAAUUACAAACAUUCAAAUUGUAGUAUAAACCCCUGAAUACUUAAUCAUCCUUAUCAUAAAACCUCCAAAGACAUUAAGUCCAUUAAAAUUUUGUCACCUUACAUAUAAAUAAGUUAUUCAUUAUGGCUUGCUAGUAAAUUCAUAUUCAUAGAAAAUAUUCGGGUGUUCUCAAUGCAAAUGUUAAUUGCCUUUUGUGACAAGAAUAGUGUUUCACAUACUUGAUAUCAUUAGCCUGGAAGCCUUAAAGCACUCUGCAGCUGUACAAGAAUGAAUGUCUCUCAAAUCUGACUAUGUCCAGUCUUCUCUCCCAUUUGUGAUUUAGUCUUUCCCAACCUUCUGGGCUCAUUACACAGCUGUAUUGCAGAAGGAACAACUGUUUCCACAAGGAUAUCAUUGUCCAAUUAUACAAGAUCACAGAUCCCUUCCGAAAUAUGUACAGAACUCAUUAUCCAUCAUUGAUUUCAUUCCUCAAGAACCCAACUGGUUUACUUAUUUGUUUUGUUUUCAUUUUUUAUGCUCCUUCAACAUUGUCAUUGCAGGGAUGGGGAAAUGGGGAGGACACUAGAGUAAAAUUUUAGGUUGCCAAGUUUCAUGAACAAUAUUAUACAAUAGACUGUCCUAAUAAUUACACAGUCACCUGUUAGGGAACGCUCUUUGGAGUAGUUCAUAUAUAAAGUAAAGAAAACCAUCACUCUGUUUGAACGUGUUGGGUUGCAUGAGGCACUGUGCCAGGUAGAAGAAUGGGAAAUGCAAAUAUGAGUGGGACAAAUUCUACUCGUGGAAAAGUCACAGUCUAAGUCUCUGAAGUAGGGCACACAAGGGUCCAUUAAGGUACAGGAAGAAAAAAAAAACAUUGGAAUUUUUCCUUGAGUUUUAUCUCUCAUCCUUUUGAAUUUCUUUUUGUGUAUGUUUUAUAACAUCUAUUUAUUACUAUAGAGUAAUACAUGUAUAUAAGUUUCUAUUCUAUAAAACAGAAGUGUUUUAACUAAUAAGAGUGUGCAAUCAGAAAAAGUUUGGAAACCACUGAGCCUGAAUGUAAGAAAUACGUCAAGCAAAGACUUUUUGGUAUUUGAGAAAUGCAUUAUUAUCUUCUAAUAAGCAAUUUGCAAGAGAUUCCAACAAACUGGUAUUUUUCGUUAGCUAUUCUUUUCUUUGAGCUUUCAUUUAUCACUUACUACCUAAAGGUCAUAGGCAACCUGAAAAAGACAAAUAAUGAUGCUCUCUACAUUCCUAGAUUCACAAUAUUUCAUAGUGGAGCAGAAUAUAAAAGGGACAAUAAAGAGGAUCUUCUUUCACCCUGUCAAGUAUGACACAGCCAUAAAUGACCCUCCCUCGGCACAGAAUACAAGUUAAUUCAUCAAUAGCUUAAUUAUGAUCCUCAAAUCCAUCAAUCAAUGAAAUUUUAUGUAGGAAAGAAAAUUUUAUAUGCACUCUUUGCUUCAGUAAAAUUGGAAUUCAAAAGUAUGUAAUCUGACACAGGACUAAUUUACAUGUUGUAAACGUAAAUAUAAUUUUGGGGGAAAUUUAUUUCUGCAUAGGCCCAGAUUUCCUGAAUAAAUUAGAUACAGAUUAAAAUUCCAUUAUAGCGUGAUACAGUUCCUCAUUAGGAAUCACAGAAGGUUCCUAUAUAUGUCCUGUGAUUUGAAUGUGGUCUCUACACUUUGCCAACUUUCAGAAAACAUUCAUUCAAAUUGCAAAAGAGCUGGUUUUCAGCCAGUGUUCCAAUGGCUGUACUGGCACAUUGAAAGAAAAUCAAUCAGGAAGCAGACCUCACCAAGUGCUUGCCUCCUCUUCCAAAGCAAGCCUCUUCUAAAGGAAGAAAAAGCAAGGGUUGAAAAAAGAGAGAAGCCUGAAGAGAAGUGAGAAGGAGAUGAAGAAGAGGGCAAAAAGAGAAGAAAAUAAAGGUGAAAGUAGAGAAGAAAAGUUAGGAGAUUCAUUGCAAGAUUUAUACAGGGCACUGGAGCAGGCCAGUCUGUCACCACUAGGAGAACAUCGUAUUUCAACCAAGAUGGAAUACAAGCUAUCAUUUAUAAAAAGAUGUAAUGAUCCUGUAAUGAAUGAAAAACUACACAGGCUGAGAAUUCUCAAAAGCACUUUAAAGGCCAGAGAAGGGGAAGUAGCCAUUAUCGAUAAAGUCCUAGACAAUCCAGAUUUGACUUCUAAAGAAUUCCAACAAUGGAAGCAGAUGUACCUCGACCUUUUCUUGGAUAUCUGUCAAAAUACCACCUCAAAUGACCCACUGAGUAUUUCUUCUGAAGUAGAUGUAAUCACUUCCUCUCUAACACACACUCAUUCAUACAUUGAAACGCAUGUCUAAAUGUAUUCUGCCUUCAGGCCAUCUAGUACCUGCUGGUACUCUGAACACAUAUAUAAGGUAGUUUUUUAUAUCAAUGUGUGGAACACUUGACAAGCGAUACUUUAAUGUUACCAAACUAUAUGAAACAAACCAUAUAUGGUCACAAUACCACUAUCUUUAAUGAGCAUUUGUAUAUUUUAUAUGCAAUCAGUGCUCAGCUUAUGUUUACCAUGUGCAAAAUCAACUGUCUUUAAUGACUUAAAAUUAACUUUUGCAAACAAUUCUAAAUACAGGUGGUCUUCAAGUAGUAAAACCACAAAAGGCAGUUUUCUAUCUAUGGUCAUCUUUUCUCCCUUUAAGUUAAUUUUAUAUAAACAAGACUUCAAAAGUAAAUCACGUUUUUUCAGGUGCAGACAUCCUUGUGGGUGGGAAAGAAUUUAAACCUUUUUUAUAUUUAUUAAAAUGUUCUAAGAAUUUUCUUAAACAUUGCACAAAGUUUAAUGCUGUAGUUUUAUUUUUGUGAAAUGUAGAUGCACAUACAAGAGCUAAGCAAAAUAGAAGAGCAUCGACAUAAGAAAAGUUCAGGUAUCUAAUAUUCGUCUUAAUAGUCUAUUAACUUGUGAAAGCUAGUUAAUGGAAAUAUUAUUCCAAAUCUAUGAGAACACUUGGUGUAUCAGGGCAAAGCUUUGUAAGAUGUUUUUGUAACUAAGACCAAAAUUGAAGAUAGAGCUGCUUUAUUUUCUUGGUUUAAAUCUUCCUUUAUUUUUGUAGUGAUGAGAUGCUGAUUGUGUACAGAAGAAUUUGAGAGGGGAUUUUUAAAAACUGACUUAACACACCCAGAAAGGCAGCUAACAGCUAUAUAUAUAUAUUUCAGCCCAAACUCAUGUUUUUAAACUCCAACUCUUAAAAGACAACAAGGUAUAAACUGAAAUGAAUCAACUUUCCACUUAGUUUCUAAUUUUCCCCUAGUCCACUAAUUAAACUUAUGUAAUUAUACUUCAGGCAGGGAAGUACAAUAUGUUUAGUUACAGGCUGAUGUGUGUUACAAAAAAACAACAUUGAAAAAUAAAAAUGUACUUCCCUACUAAGGAGCAAGCGGGUGAUGGUCAUUCGGAGAGAUGUCACAUUUAAUUAUGAGAGAAACAAUUUAGAGGUUUUUUUCCUAGCUUCAUGAAUUGUUCUGUAGAGUGGAUGAAGUUAAGAAAAAGUCCUCUUCAUAUAUUUCCAUUUAUAAGCGUCUUGUUUUUGAAAGUGAUCACAGCAUGAAAAUGACUGUGCUGCUUUUUAGUGUCUGGCUGCAUAACGUACAAGUCACAAUUUGCUGUUUUUUUCAGGAGGAGAAAGGGAACCUCCUUUACUAUUCUAUAUCCUAAAAUCUACUUCUAAUCAGCUUUAUACUGUUGCCUGUACAGCUCAGUGAAUGUACUUUCAUCUUUAAGAGUUCAGAUAUAUGCCAGUGAAUAUUUUUGCUGUAGAGGAGAAAGUAAAAACUCCACAGCGGGGAUCUUUUUCUUUGCUUUUGAAACCACCAUUGAAUCACUAUCGUUUUGCAGACUUUGCACAACUGUACAGGAGAGUGGCCUUUCUACAGCACAUUUUCAGUAAUCCUAUAUUUAGUCAAAAUGGAUGAGAAAUCAUGUAUUAAUGUUUGUAUGGAAUUUUGGGUCCAGUGUAAUAUUUUUAUCAUUUACAAAGAAUUCUAUUUGUAAAAACAUUUAUUUACUGCAUGGAUAUUGACGCACAUUAAAUUUGUGGGAUUUUGUAUAUGUUAAAAAAAAAAAAAAAAAAAAAACCUCUUGUCCUAAAAUGAAGUGUGCUUGUUACAGGUGUUUAGACUUAUUGAUGUUUACUAGACCAAAUGUGUAUGUUCACUUAAAAAUAUAUGUACCUGAUGGAUGUGUCAUGUUUACAGUGGCCAGGUUGUGGCCUGUAAACAGCAAGCAGUUGAUGGGAAGACUAGCUCUGUUGCUACUAAGCAGCUUUUACUUUUGUAAAGUCAGCUCUGUUGUUUUAAAUGGUAAAAAUUAAACUAAUGAAUUUGACAAGA